UUGUAUAUAUGCAUGUUUAUUUUUCCUAUUGCCGAAGCAUCUGAAUCGGAUCCGGUGAAUCGAACGACGGGAGAAUUGGGUGUCAUCGGUAGGCGAUGUAAGUACAUAGAGUACUCUUUUUAUUUAUUGUUUUUUAAUUGUCAAAUAUAUGUUCCCAACGUUGAUUACUGUGUCGGUGUUUAGACCCGGCAACCUACCGAGGGGGUACCCAAGGUAGUGUUUUAUGCGUUGAGGCUCGCCGAGAUCAGAAACUUGAUGGUGAACUUGAACACACGAUUUAGACAGGUUCGGGCCGCUUAUGUCACGUAAUACCCUACGUCCUAUGUGUUGGUUGGAUUGUAUUGAUUGAAGUUGUUUGGAGGGGGUCCCUGCCUCGCCUUAUAUUGCUGGGGGUAGGUUUACAGGUCGGUUAUUUACAAGAGUACUAGUCGGAUUCAACUAGAGAAUCCUACUCUAAUUGCUAUGAGUAGUUUUCUAAUCCUCGACUCGUUCUCG
rnacentral:lncRNA from 1 species